UGACCCGCUCAACAUUCCUACUUUACU
rnacentral:piRNA from 1 species